rnacentral:rRNA from 1 species
GCGAACCCGGAAGAGAUUCCGGGGUGCCUUCGGGAACGCAGAGACAGGUGCUGCAUGGCUGUCGUCAGCUCGUGUUGUGAGAUGUUGGGUUAAGUCCCGCAACGAGCGCAACCCUUAUCCUUAGUUGCCAGCACGUAAUGGUGGGAACUCUGGGGAGACUGCCGGUGAUAAACCGGAGGAAGGUGGGGACGACGUCAAGUCAUCAUGGCCCUUACGGGAUGGGCUACACACGUGCUACAAUGGCGCAUACAAAGGGCAGCAAGCCAGCGAUGGUUAGCGAAUCUCAUAAAGUGCGUCGUAGUCCGGAUUGGAGUCUGCAACUCGACUCCAUGAAGUCGGAAUCGCUAGUAAUCGUGGAUCAGAAUGCCACGGUGAAUACGUUCCCGGGCCCCGUACACACCGCCCGUCACACCAAGGGAGGGGGGGGCACCAGAAGUGGUUAGUUUAACCUUCGGGAGAACGAUCACCACGGUGUGGUUCAUGACU